GUGGGAGGCUGGGUGUUCCAGGGCAGCUUAACCACUGUGCAGGCUUAACCGGAACUGGAGAUACAGAAACCAACCCACCCAGCACAAAUGCAAGCGUUUUCACCCACUACCUUUAGCUUCUUUGUGAGCUGCAGUCAUGUGACAUGAGACGAGCUGACUACAGUGGCUGUGUGGUUUGCAUGGGGGCCAGAUGCUGUGCUUCCCAUACCAAGCCCAUGAGCCCACAGUUGAGAGACCUUGGAUUUUCCUGUUGUUUGUUUUGUUUAAAGGCGAGCGCCACCACUACCUGGUGACCUUGGAUUUUCAAAGACUUUG
rnacentral:lncRNA from 1 species